UGAGGAAUAUUGGGCAAUGCCCGCAAGGGUGACCCAGCAACGCCGCGUGGAGGAUGAAUGUCGUAAGAUUGUAAACUCCUGUUAGAGGGGAAGAAUAGUACCGGUUGGACCGGUAUAUGACUGUAACCUCAGAGAAAGCCCCGGCUAACUACGUGCCAGCAGCCGCGGUAAUACGUAGGGGGCAAGCGUUGUCCGGAUUUACUGGGUGUAAAGGGCGCGCAGGCGGGAUAAAAAGUCAGUGGUGAAAUCUCCGAGCUUAACUUGGAAACUGCCGUUGAUACUAUAGGUCUUGAAUUAUCUGGAGGUAAGCGGAAUAUGUCAUGUAGCGGUGAAAUGCUUAGAUAUGACAUAGAACACCAAUUGCGAAGGCAGCUUACUACAUAUAAAUUGACGCUGAGACACGAAAGCGUGGGGAUCAAACA
rnacentral:rRNA from 1 species